GACGAACGCUGGCGGCGUGCCUAAUACAUGCAAGUCGGACGAACUCUGGUAUUGAUUGGUGCUUGCAUCAUGAUUUACAUUUGAGUGAGUGGCGAACUGGUGAGUAACACGUGGGAAACCUGCCCAGAAGCGGGGGAUAACACCUGGAAACAGAUGCUAAUACCGCAUAACAAUUUGGACCGCAUGGUCCGAGCUUGAAAGAUGGCUUCGGCUA
rnacentral:rRNA from 1 species